UGCAAGACCAUGGCAGGUAUGUUGGUCAGC
rnacentral:piRNA from 1 species